CGCGUAGGUGGUUAGGUAAGCGAGAUGUGAAAGCCCCGGGCUUAACCUGGGAACGGCAUUUCGAACUGUCUGAUUAGAGUAUGGUAGAGGGUAGUGGAAUUUCCUGUGUAGCGGUGAGAUGCGUAGAUAUAGGAAGGAACACCAGUGGCGAAGGCGGCUACCUGGACCAAUACUGACACUGAGGUGCGAAAGCGUGGGGAGCAAACA
rnacentral:rRNA from 1 species